GCCAGUGGGCCAGUGGGAGGCAGAGGCCAGAGGGUGGGAGGCCAUGGCGGCUCCCGGUGUCUGAGAUCACUGGCUGCUGCUUAGGCAGAGGCUGGACGGCCAGGUGGGACUGUCGCCUCCUUGGUCACAGCCCCUCCCAGGAUAGCCUCUCAGCUGGAGGCAGGGCUGUGCUGCCGGAUGUGGACCCCGCGGAUGGGUGACUGGCACAGACCCCCUUCCACACAGACCCGGGCUUGCUGUGUUUUCUCUCGGGGGAGGAAACAGUGCCCUCUGCCGGACUCUUCAGGGAUUGCAGGUGCCCCCGACCCAGAAAGCAGCUUCCUCCCGGAUCAGCCCAGAAAAGCAGGACAGCCAGGGGCCGGGCAGGCGUGGAUCUGGGCAGUGAAGGCGUGUGUGAGCCACAGGCACUGUAUGACCUAUGGGAUGGCAGCAGAGCCAGGAUCAGAGGAUCCCAGAGGGCCUCUGGAAGGCAGAGUGCAGUGACCCUGCAGGAAGCUUGGACAGGAGGACCAGACCCGGCCCUGGCUCCUACUCUACUCCAACCCCAGGCACGCACUGAGCCCUGGCCCCGUCCCCUGUGGACCGUAUGGAGGGUGAGACCACGGGAUGGGUGUCCGCAGGUGUGUGCUUUGCUCUUAACCCAGAGAAGCCAAGAGCUGUCUUCCUGCCUCCUCCCCCUCAGUGACUCAGUGCCGUCCCUGGCCACACUCCUCUCCUCUCGCCCCCAUCGCAGCUCCACAUUGACUGAGGGUGCAGGUCCUCUGGGUGACAGGCAGCAGUCCUGGGGGUGGACGGGGGAGCUGACUCAUUGUAGUGGGAGGAGAGGUGUCACAGCUGAAGUCCCCCAAGUUUGGACCCCCAGCCUGUCCAGGUGGCUCCUGGGAGAGCACCCAGGGCUACACCUUCUCAGCAGUGGGGGGGUCCCCUGGGCACCAGAACAAAGACCCCUUUACUCCAGGCUCCACCCUCAGAGGCCAUG
rnacentral:lncRNA from 1 species